rnacentral:rRNA from 1 species
AGAGUUUGAUCCUGGCUCAGAUUGAACGCUGGCGGCAUGCCUUACACAUGCAAGUCGAACGCGAAAGGGGGGGCAACCCCCCAAGUAGAGUGGCGAACGGGUGAGUAAUACAUCGGAACGUACCCAGUAGCGGGGGAUAACCUCUCGAAAGAGAGGCUAAUACCGCAUACGACCUACGGGUGAAAGAGGGGGAUCGCAAGACCUCUCACUAUUGGAGCGGCCGAUGUCGGAUUAGCUAGUUGGCGGGGUAACGGCCCACCAAGGCGACGAUCCGUAGCUGGUCUGAGAGGACGACCAGCCACACUGGAACUGAGACACGGUCCAGACUCCUACGGGAGGCAGCAGUGGGGAAUUUUGGACAAUGGGCGCAAGCCUGAUCCAGCCAUGCCGCGUGGGUGAAGAAGGCCUUCGGGUUGUAAAGCCCUUUCGGCUGGGACGAAAAGGUCCGUGUUAACACCGCGGAUCCAUGACGGUACCAGCAGAAGAAGCACCGGCUAACUACGUGCCAGCAGCCGCGGUAAUACGUAGGGUGCAGGCGUUAAUCGGAAUUACUGGGCGUAAAGCGUGCGCAGGCGGUCUUUUAAGUCAGAUGUGAAAUCCCCGGGCUUAACCUGGGAACUGCGUUUGAAACUGGAAGGCUUGAGUGUGGCAGAGGGGGGUGGAAUUCCACGUGUAGCAGUGGAAUGCGUAGAGAUGUGGAGGAACACCGAUGGCGAAGGCAGCCCCCUGGGCUAACACUGACGCUCAUGCACGAAAGCGUGGGGAGCAAACAGGAUUAGAUACCCUGGUAGUCCACGCCCUAAACUAUGUCAACUGGUUGUCGGGGAAGCAAUUCCUUGGUAACGAAGCUAACGCGUGAAGUUGACCGCCUGGGGAGUACGGCCGCAAGGUUAAAACUCAAAGGAAUUGACGG